UACGUAGGGUGCGAGCGUUGCCCGGAUUUAUUGGGCGUAAAGGGCGCGCAGGCGGCUACGCACGUCCGUUGUGAAAUCGCUCGGCUCAACUGGGCGGGGUCAGCGGAUACGGCGUAGCUGGAGCAAGCUAGGGGGCAAUGGAAUUCCCGGUGUAGUGGUGGAAUGCGUAGAUAUCGGGAGGAACACCAGUGGCGAAGGCGGUUGCCUGGAGCUUUGCUGACGCUGAGGCGCGAAAGCUAGGGGAGCAAACGGG
rnacentral:rRNA from 1 species